rnacentral:misc_RNA from 1 species
UCCGUUUUGUCAACGGCAGUCUCAAUAGAGUCCCCGGCAUAACCCGCUGGCAACAUGGAACGAGGGUUGCGCUCGUUGCGGGACUUAACCCAACAUCUCACGACACGAGCUGACGACAACCAUGCACCACCUGUGAACCCGCCCCAAAGGGGAAACCACAUCUCUGUGGCGGUCGGGAACAUGUCAAGCCUUGGUAAGGUUCUUCGCGUUGCAUCGAAUUAAUCCGCAUGCUCCGCCGCUUGUGCGGGCCCCCGUCAAUUCCUUUGAGUUUUAGCCUUGCGGCCGUACUCCCCAGGCGGGGCACUUAAUGCGUUAGCUGCGGCGCGGAAACCGUGGAAUGGCCCCCACACCUAGCACCCAUCGUUUACGGCUGGGACUAC